CCGCCGCCGCCAUCCGAGCCGUGCGCCGGGGGGGGGGGGGCGGGGCGGGGCGGAGCGGAGCGGGGCGGAGAGGACGGCGGCCCCAGGAAAACGUCUGUUCAAAGAGGCAAACUUAUGAAUCGCAUCAGCAACAGAGUAUUUGGUCUGUCCAGAUACACAAGCCUCCAUAUCUUCCGGGCUUAGCUGAGUCUGUAAGAAGAGGUGAAGCCUACUGUCUGAAAGCAAUAAUGCGUCUUGUAGGAUCCUGGAACAAGAAAAAAAGUUAGAUGUUUUUAUAUAGAUGCACAUGCACACAUAUUUUCACCAGAACAAAUUCUAAAUGAUGUCCUGCUUUUAAGUUUUCAGAUGAAUCCUAAAUCAGUAACAGAAGUGCCAUCUGGAGGUGAAAGGAGUGAAGAGAAACCCAGGCGAAGAAACGGAAAGAUGUUCAUAAAGCUAAUCACACACAUACAGAUACAUAGAUAGAUGUAUAUGUGCAUAUAUAUGUUCACAAGGGGGUAGGGACCAAACACUCAAUGCAUUUUGCAAACCACUUAAAACCAUCCUGAAAGCAAAUACAUGAACACCUUUCACCCAGUCAUACCCUCGAAGCAUUUUUUUCUUUCUUUUAAUUAAAAAAUAACUUCUGCUUCCCCCUUCCCCCCCAUCUGAACCAACAGGUUAGAUUGCUUUUUAACUGCAUCCUUCAAGCAAUCAAAAUGAAAAAUAAAUUCUGUGCUAUCCGUAAGCAUUAUGCCUUCCUGUUCAAAAUACUCCUUCUUCAAGGAAAUAACCAUACAUUCAUUUGUCACCAGAUGUUACUAGUAGUAGUAAGUGCUGGUAUAGCAGUUGCUCUCCAGGGCUUUUGCUGUCCUGGGGACUCACUAUAUGAAGGGUGGUACAUCUAAAAAAAUAGAUUUGGCUCCAAGGACUUUAAAAAUCAAAAUUACAAAACACCACCUAACAAAUUAAAAACGCAAGAGGAAAGGCAGAGUGUCAUAAUAUUAAUACUUGGAUGUCUUAGCAGAGGCUGAACGCGUGAGCAGUUUGAACACAACCAGUAGCACUCCCAGUGCUUCUCAAACAGUUUUAUUACAGCCAGUGUCAAUGCAAAGCUGCGGUUACAGCGAUGUAAAUCAGCUCUCGCUGCUGUUGCGCUAAUGGAAGAGUCACGGCUCACAGUGAUAAUUCCUAUAAACUGACUGAGCAUACUUAAGAGAACAACAGACUUUCUAUGCACGCCUGGAAUAAGAAGGAAAGGCUAAAUCCUGCAAGUCUUGAUCCCAUCAGUAGUCAUUACUUGUCAGAGAUCUCACUCCUCUCGGCCAGAUUGCUCACGUGCAUAAUGACUACUUAUGUGAUUAAGGGGGCUGCAGGAUAAGGCUCUACAUUUGAAUUAGAGAUAAUAAAAUCAUUUUUUAUUCACAGCCAUGCAAAUCUUUGUUUGUAAGCUUUCAGUAAACGCUCAUGAUCUCUAGACCUUUAAAGAAGCAGGGCCGAAAAACGUCACUUCGCAACCAGGAGAAAUAACGUCCUUUUUGAAUGAAAUGCUGGAUACUACACGAGGAGUAUUUUUCCUUCCCGUGUUACAGCAAGAACAUUUACAAAAGACAAAACAUGUGUUUUGUCUUAUUUGGACAAGGUCCAAAAUCUGGUUUUCUUCAACAUGAUUUUAUUAGGUAUAUUAUACACUGUUCUGCUGCAGGAGAACAACAUAUGGCUGAACAGUACAACUUAAUCCUAACUAAAGAUUUCCUGUAUCUACUGUAACCUAAUACAAUGACAGAUGCACACUUGCAUGUGUGUGGAAGGUUAACACUCUGAUUUUGUUUUCGACAAAUUUAUUCUGCCCGUUUACAUCAUACCAUGAGAGCAAGGAAAGGAAAAAAUAAAUAAAUAAAUAAAAGAGGAGUUGAGAGGCGGGGGAUGAUGACAGCCAGUGCUGUGGUGCCCUCUAUUGAGCAUCCAGCCCUGAGCCCCAGCCCACAGCAAACAAAGAAAGCCCCAGUUUCCUCUUAAAAAAAGCCGACUGUUUCCUCCUUCAUUUUUUAUAAGGGAGGAAAUGUUACUGAUAGCGAGCAACUGUGAAGCAACUGUUGGGCAUCUGAUAAUGCAUACGUUUAGGAAAGGAUCAAGUGACACGCACCUGCUAGGCAUUAUUCACUUUACUCACCAGAUAGGAAAUAUUAGCAAGGCUCCAUUGGAAGGAGGCUGCCACCACUCACCCGAGGAGAUCCCACCUGCCCCACGGCCACCGAUGCUCCCGCCUGAGCCCCGGCAAGCUGGCAUCCAUCGCUUUUGGAGCCAGACUCCCACUUUCCACAUCCCUGGGGAAGCGCCUGGUGGAGACACCUCUGACCCUGCACCAGCUCCUGCUUGUGGGACUGCCGUGGGGAAGGUAAGGAGGUGUGAGGAGGAGGGCAAAACCCCAGUCACCUCCAGAGAAUGGCUCUGCCUUAGGCAGCCGAGUUUUGGGUGGCUUGCUCGCUCCAGCACCAAGUGAGCCUAAUGCACAGCCACCUGGAGCAGCAACACUGUGGAUGUCCUUCGACUCCUGUGGAUCCGAGUGCUGCCUUUCUCAGAACUCCUAGUAUGUCUUCCACCUCAUCAUAAACUGCAUGUCUGAAAACCAACUGAAGACUAAUCCUUUUUCCUAAACCACGUAAUUUUGGGGGAUCCAACUGUAUUCAAUAAAAAAAUGUCAGUGAUUGAA